GACGAACGCUGGCGGCGUGCUUAACACAUGCAAGUCGAGCGGAAAGGCCCUUCGGGGUACUCGAGCGGCGAACGGGUGAGUAACACGUGAGUAAUCUGCCCUUGGCUUUGGGAUAACUACCGGAAACGGUGGCUAAUACCGGAUACGACAACCGUCUGCAUGGGCUGGUUGUGGAAAGUUUUUUCGGCCAGGGAUGUGCUCGCGGCCUAUCAGCUUGUUGGUGGGGUAAUGGCCUACCAAGGCUUCGACGGGUAGCCGGCCUGAGAGGGUGACCGGCCACACUGGGACUGAGACACGGCCCAGACUCCUACGGGAGGCAGCAGUGGGGAAUAUUGGACAAUGGGCGGAAGCCUGAUCCAGCAACGCCGCGUGAGGGAUGACGGCCUUCGGGUUGUAAACCUCUUUCAGUACCAACGAAGCGCCGAUGAUGGUGGUGACGGUAGGUACAGAAGAAGCACCGGCCAACUACGUG
rnacentral:rRNA from 1 species